rnacentral:pre_miRNA from 1 species
AUUGCUGUCUUACCAGGCACAGUUAGAUCUGCCUACUCGUGUCUAAUACUGUCUGGUAAUGCCGUCAAU